rnacentral:rRNA from 1 species
AAAACGAAUAAAUCGUAUAAAGUUCUAGAUAAAAAAUUUAUAAUGACUAAUUUUUAUCUAUAAGUCUUGACCAAAUUACGUGCCAGCAGUCGCGGUAAUACGUAGAAGACAAGUGUUAUUCAUCUUUAACAGGUUUAAAGGGUACCUAGACGGGAAAUCAAGCCAGUGUAAAACAGAGGUACUAAUUUCCUAGAGUUUUAUAUGUCAAGUUUGAACUAUCUGAGGAGAGAUGUAAUGCAGAGAUACAGAUAGGACGGAUCGCAGCGUAGGCGUACUUGUGUGUAAAAACUGACGUUGAGGGACGAAGCCCGGGGGAGCGAUAAGGAUUAGAUACCCUAGUAGUCCAGGGAGAAAAUUAUGAGUGCCAUAAACUAGACAAAUGUUUGGUCUAUAAAUGAAAGUGUAAGCAUUCCACCUCAUGAGUAAAGCGGCAACGCCGAAAUUGAAAUCAUUAGACCGUUUCUGAAACCAGUAGUGAAGUAUGUUAUUUAAUUCGAUGGUCCGCGAAUAACCUUACCACCUCUUGAAUCAUUUAGAUAAUGAACAAGCGCUGCACGGCUGUCUUCAGUUAAUGUCGUGAGACUAGGUUAAUUCCGCUAAUUAACGAAAACCCUUGUUUUAUUUUAUAUAUAUAGAACUGUUCACCAAUACAAUGGAAAGGAUAAAUGGGACCAAGACAAGU